UACGGAGGGGGUUAGCGUUGUUCGGAAUGACUGGGCGUAAAGCGCGCGUAGGCGGAUCAUCAAGUCGGGGGUGAAAUCCCGGGGCUCAACCCCGGAAUGGCCUUCGAGACUGGUGGUCUUGAGUUCGAGAGAGGUGAGUGGAAUUCCGAGUGUAGAGGUGAAAUUCGUAGAUAUUCGGAGGAACACCAGUGGCGAAGGCGGCUCACUGGCUCGACACUGACGCUGAGGUGCAAAAGCGUGGGGAGCAAACAGG
rnacentral:rRNA from 1 species